rnacentral:lncRNA from 1 species
CAAUAAUGCCCAAGGUUUCCCCUCUGAUCCUGGCAGCUCCAGAAGCCACUUCCCGAAUCUGUUCAACGCUUUGUACUCUCGUGCCUUCCCGCAAGGCCUGGUGAAGCCAGGUGGUUCGUCUGUACAAGUUCAGAAUGUGGCACAUGGUAGAAUCCGCUGUUUCUUCUACAGAGGCAGCUGGCACGUUACACACUGCAAUCCCUAAAUCUCCAGCAGAUUUGAUGUCAAUAUUAUCAAAACCACUGCCGAUUCGGACAAUUAUUCGAAGUGCUUUAAAUUUCUCCAGGUCUUCUCGUGUUAAAGUGAUAGUGUGAUACAUCAGUGCACCCACUGCUUCAUUUAGUACCUUUUCAUGAAUUUCUUGUGUAGACUGAGCAUCACAAAAUGCCACUGUGGCUACAUCCUUCAGAAUAGGCAUUUCUACUGUACAAUCCCUGCCAUCCAGCAAUGCUACCAACGGGCGUGGGUGCAUGGGCCCAUUCAUGAUCGGAGGUCGAAUGCCUAGCGGCAAGCCCUUGUUCAGCAAGUGCGAGCUUCCCAUUGAAGCGUCGGGGCCGCGGGGAGGGCGCCGGGCUGGGCUCGGCCGCUCCGCAACGGCCGCGCUGCCGGGGGAAGCGGGCGCCGCCGCGGCAUAUGGCGGCCGCUCCGUGGGCGCCCCUGAACUGAGGCGCCUCGACGCGCGCCCGCGCGCAUGCCCUCCCCGCGCGCGUCCCCCCGCCGACCGCCGCCGCGCGCACGCGCACUCCCACCCUCCCGGCUUCGGGGAGCGGCCGCCGCUCGCCGCUGACACAGCCGCCGCCGCCGCGGGCGGGGCUUCCGCGCCUUGAUCUCGUGGUACCAGGAGGGGAGGAGGGGAUGGAAGAGAGCGGGGCGGGAGCUGCGGGCUGCCUUCGUUGGAGCGGCGCGGCGCGGCCAGGCCUGGGGACCUCUCUUAAAAUCGCGGCUGCCUUUAAACUUUCACAAAGUUCAGGCUGUACGCGAUCGGACUGCGUUCAACUUUAAGACUCCCUGCUUCAGCGUUGACGCUCACUGUGCUCCGUGCUGGCGCUCGCCGUGUUCAAUAUUAACGCUGUGACCCCAAAACAUCACGUUUUCUUGUUUCGUGCGCUUUUUCCCCUCCGUAAAUACUUAAAGCCCCCAGGUGCUGCCCAGCCUGCAACCCCACUCCCUGUGCUCCCCCAGCCCGGGCCUGAAGGGCCGCCCCACCAUCGUGCUUUUUCCACAUAAGACUCUGCAAAAACGGUAAACUGUGAGAAAUACGGUGUGGCAGGCGGCUAUAACUGCCCACAGAGCCCUGCUGGGCACUGGUGGAAGAAAGCCUUUGAGCAGGGACACCCAGCGGUGCUGUCUGUCCCAGGGGUCACGCUGCCCUCCUGUCCCUGAGGAAACAACGCGCCUUUACCACCACCAAGAAGACGUUCGGGAACGCAGCAUCGCGCUGUGGCGUUUUCCAAAGCCAAACUGAGGUGUGGAUCACGGCAGGAGGGAGCGCGAGGAGACGGGAUCCAACAGCUCACUACACCACAGCGUAACGCCCUACGGACAUACACGCAUAGAUGCCAUCCGGGAGCCUCUGAGCUCCGAGAGAACUUCAACUAAAGGGUUAUUUCCGUUUAUUUCAAGGGCACGCUCACAUACAAUCGCCUCACUCCAAGACCCCUCACCAAAAAUGAGGUUCUCGCAGAAUAUAAGCUCGUAAAUUGUUCUAUUCGUUUUAAGAGGCCAUUACUUAUUGUUAUUAUUAGUGGCGGCGGUGUUAUUUCCCCUUCUCCCGUCACAGACAGCAGCCACCGCACGGGGCUCCCCCAAGAGCCGCCUAAAACGGCGGCGGCGGCGGACGCGAAACAAAGUCUCGGCGGCGCCCCGCGGGUGGUUCAGCUGACGGCGGUCCCGCCCCGCCCCGCCCGGCGCUGGGUCAUGGCGGCAGCGCGGGGCGCUCCUCUCCUCGGCGCCGGGCUCGACUUCCCCAGUUUGCUCGCUGACGGCGGAACGGCACUUCUGCUGUGGUGCCGCAGCCGUCUGUGAGAGGGGGAAGCGCUGCGGCCGAGUAAAGGGCGGGCUCAGCCUGCGCGGGGUUUCGGGACGCGCUCUGGGCGUGAGGGCUGUGGUAGCGGCGCGGAGCAGCCCGGCCCCCAGCGCGGCUCGGUGCGCCCCUCAGCUUCUGACCGACUUUCUCCACAGGAAACAUCUCCCGAGGCCCUCACGGAGCGCGGUGCCUCUGCUCCUCGCUCUGAGGCAGCGCCCAGCCAAGCACCUCGUGUGUAAAUAAACACGUUUGGCUUUCAGUCGCUUUGAAGUGGUGAACCGCUUUAUUGACGUCUUAGAUGUUAGCAAAUAGAAAAAUAAAUAAAUAAAUAAAUAUAUAAUGGCACCUAUGGAGCCCUCAGAAAACAUGGAUGUGGAAGAACCUCGGGGAAAAGUACCUCUAUGAACAGCAAACAGCACAAACGAAGACUCGGAAUCAGAGCAGCGCAGGCUGAGGACCCCUCAGAGAGGCCCGGGGGGGGGCACGUGCUGAGCGCUGAAGGCGGAGGGAGGAGUGUGGCACCAAAUAUUGUGACAGGGGGAGUGCUCCGAGUGAGGACACGUUGGCAUGGGGAACAGAUGGAGUAUUCAGUAACAGGAGGUUAUUAAUACUGCAGCUUGGGAUUCUCUAUGCUGCUUCGUGAAGGGACUCAUAUGCUUGCUCUUUUUCUUUCCUGACUGCACGCAGACCUAAACACACACUGUGUAGGUAAUGCCGUGCUUAUUUCCCUCCCUAUGCACGCGUCACAAAUCCGUGUUUCCUGGGAAAACACUGAGCUGGAUCCUCAGUUAGUGGCCAAGUGUGUUCCUUUCAACAGCAGUAUGCUGAUCUGCACCUGCUGGAGCAGAGGGUUAUCUGACCCCGGCUCCGAGCCCCGAGGUCUCUCCUGCUCACAGACAGCUGCUGAGGGCACCUGCUCCCAAGGAUACACUAUGGAGGCUCAGGGUGGAAAACAAAGUAACUGAGGAGUGGCUGAAGCUGUCCUUAAGAACACCAUGCAGUGCUGUUUCUGACUGAGAAAACGAAGCUUGCUUUCACCCUUCUCCCCUCCGUGGCUCCCAGCUGCAGACUGGGUCUGAGAAAAUACAGGGCAGUGCAGAUGAUUCCAGUGCUGCCUUCAGCUAUCCCCACCCAUUUUGUUUCCUGUGUUUUCAGGCUCGCUCUGGGUCAUAAAACAGUGAGUUGUCUUCGCAUCCUUCAGACUAUGAUUUGCACAGCUACAAUGUAAGUAAAUCUUCUGCAGAACAUAACAAAAUUCCCAUCCUCUUAUCACAUGCGGGCUGUUGCUGUGGCUUUUAACAGCAGUGUUACACAGCUGAGAGGCCUCUGUGCUUUGCAGUAAGAAUUAUGGCAUUUUUCAAAGCCCCCGAACUGUUUCUUGGCUUCUUAAGAGUCAGCUGGAGGAACGCAUGUGCUAAAGAAUAAAUACAUUGUUUUAAGUGUAUCUGUUAACGGCCAUAUGUAAAAUUUAAGUGCAAGUUUUAUUCCCCUCAGAAUCUCCAACCAUAAGGGCGUGACCUUGGGCUUUCACAAAUUAGAUACAUUAGGGUAUGGUAUCUUUAGCAGAUGUGACUUCGAAGAUAGUGAAAGAGGAAGUUUUACUGUUGGACUAUCUAACCAUGAGCCAAGACAUUGCCACGUGCUUUCUAAAGUGAAUAAUGAGAUUUGACAGUGUUCUUACAUCCAGAUACUGAGUCUGUGUACUUACAGAUGUUCCUUAGUUUACCAUAGGUAUGUGUGCUUUCACUUCAUUAUCGACCAUGCAUCAUUCAUGUGAAUGCUCAUUGUAACAGUUCUUAAAGCCAUCAUUUAAAAACCUUUGUGUACUUUUAAUCAAAAUGUGAGAUUACGUUUCAAAGGAAGAUCUCUUAGCUUUUGUCAGUAGUAAAUCUUGCAGAUGAUAUUAGGAGACCCUGAAAGGGAUUUAUGUCAGAAGAAAAGAAUGGUUGAAUAAAGCAGCCUCAACAUUUCAACCUUAUCCUAAAAGUACAUCUUUAAAAUGUGUACUCAAAAUAAGUCAAUGCAAUUUAUUUAAAAUCUGGAAAGAAGACUUUGUUUGGAUAUAAACGUUUCCUUAAUUCUCUCACUGAGAACCUGAAAAGCAUUUGCUAACAAAUCACACGUGUACAGAUCAGUCUACUUUCAUUCUGCAACUGCACAGCAAUUGCGUAUUAUAAUUAGAGCUGCCUUUUUUUCCUUUCUUUUUUAUAAUGUACUUCCUCUGUGUGAAACUCCCCUCUGUAAGAAGUUAAUACUUUCUGGUUGAUGUGAAAGAGAAAGGCCAUUCUGGAGGAACAUUUUCAGCAGGUUCUGAGGGGAAAAUGGAAAAAAAAAAGAAUAAUUGACAAAAGGGAGACAUUUAAUCUUUAUGAAAUGGUGCUCAUCACAAGCAUGAAAUAAAAUAGAGGACCUUCAUCUGCUGUGGAAAAGAAGGUUUACCAAAGGAUCAAAGUAGCAGAUUAAAGUUCCACUUAAUGAACAAGAAGUUCAGCUGUGUCAAACAUUCAAAGUCAGUUCUGAAAUGCCGAACGUGCACUGCUCCCUUCUCCAAAUGGAAUGGCUGUACUAGCUCAAUCCCGCAAAUAACAGCCAUACAAAAGUGAAAAACCUUGCAGUGUGCUGAACGAAAGGAAGAAUAAAUUCCCUUCAAACCAGCGAACACAAAAAACCUCUCUCCUCUGAUGUUAUCUGUAUCAAGUGACUAAGGGAUUUUCUUCCUGAUCUCACCCUCUUCAUA